UUCGCAAUGCCCGAAAGGGUGACGAAGCGACGCCGCGUGCGGGAAGAAGGCCUUCGGGUUGUAAACCGCUGUCGGGAGUUAAGAAAUGCAGAGAUGUUAAUAGCGUCUUUGCUUGACUAAGGCUCCGGAGGAAGCCACGGCUAACUCUGUGCCAGCAGCCGCGGUAAUACAGAGGCGGCAAGCGUUGUUCGGAAUUAUUGGGCGUAAAGAGCACGUAGGCGGCUAUGUAAGUCGGUUGUGAAAGCCUUCCGCUCAACGGGAGAACAGCAUCCGAUACUGCAUGGCUUGAGUGUGGGAGGGGAGAGUGGAACUUCUGGUGGAGCGGUGAAAUGCGUAGAUAUCAGAAGGAACGCCGGCGGCGAAAGCGACUCUCUGGCCCGCAACUGACGCUGAGUGUGCGAAAGCUAGGGGAGCAAACGGGAUUAGAUACCCCGGUAGUCCUAGCCGUAAACGAUGGGCACUAAGUAGAGGGGUUUU
rnacentral:rRNA from 1 species